UAUACUCUAGUAUAUGAAGUACUUUAAUUUUUGGAGUUAAAGGAGGCAGUUUAAUUCUGUUGGGUAUAG
rnacentral:tRNA from 1 species